CAGAAUCACUGACUACAAACGUCGAAACAUUAUAACACUAGCUCAGAUUAGAACUGACUGUGAGUAAAAGAAAGACGCCGUGAGAAACUCGAGAAGAAAACGUUGGUUCCGAUCGAGACGCCGUGACCCUUUCCUCUUCUUCUUUCAACUGUAAUAAGCAGGCAUUAAAAACGGGCCUGUUCCAAGUGAAACUUUCCAGAAACACACGAACGGGUAGGGAUGGAUGAGCGAGUAUAUGUAUAUGCAACGAAGAAAACGGACCGCGGGACCAGGCGGAGGAAAGAGUAAAAGCAGAUAUUCAAUGCCAACACGAAGAAAUUCUACGAGCAGAAUUUUUACCCGUUUUUCAGUGUAGCAAGGCGGAAGUAAUACGAAACAAUAUAAAUAAUAAUAUAGAGAAGAAGAUGCAGUAUGGAAUUAUCGAGACGAUAUUAUACAUUCACCUGUUCGUGCGGCGAGUUCGUUGCGUCUGUGCUCCUCUGAGAAGACCUACAUUACAUACAUUAUUUCUCGAGUACAGAACGGACCUAUGUACAUACGCUCUGCGCAAGGUCUCACGAGACCUCGGCCAUAAACCAACCCACGUAAAAGAUUUUCUGCCGCAUGCACAGUUUUAAUCAACUCGUCAACUUCCAAAUUCUUAUACGGGCUACUUCUCAAGACACGCCUACAUAACACACACGUAUGAAGACGCUGAACUUCCUGUCAUCCAGCAACAAUGCAACAAGAAUAAUUGCGCAAAGACCGUGGAGUUUUGAUACGCCAGUAAACCACCAGGGGGAGAGAAUUACUUUCGCGAAUAAUACAGGCAAGAAAGCGGUUAUCCGGUGUAAUAAAAUCGAAUGAAAGUUGCGGUCUGGCCAGGGGGAUACGGUAUCGUCGCCGCGUUGUGGAACGACGCCGGGGCCGAUCGAUAUUACAACGCGCUCCUCUCUUUUCCGAGGGCCGAUAAUAAUUCGGUGUUUUACGAUGUUGAUCGAGCGUCGACAUAAUUACGCGGCCGAGCUGGCAGCGUUACGUAUGCCUGACGCCCAAUUAAUGUCGCGGCACCGGCGAAUUAUCGGCCAUCGCGCUUUUUCCCUCGAACUUGUUUCCCUUCCUUCCGGCUCGCCGGGCUCGCUCGACUCCCGAGAAAACAAACUGAAAACAUCGUUCCCUCUGCCAGCCCGGCCGGUCCUCGAACGUAUUCGUUCCGGGGGCACGUCGUAAUUUUAAAAAUUGGAAAUAUCGUCGCGGCAGAUUUUCGAGAAAUCUUCAGUGUUCGUGGAUCGAUUUUGGUGUUUCCGUGCAACGUUUUGCAAGACGAGGUUCAUCGAGACUGGUGAAUUAAUACCGUAGCUUUGGCAAUGAAAUCAAAUAAAGUUUCUGCAGAGUGAAUGUUACUAAUCCUUCGCGCCCCGAAUUAUUUUUCAAUUAUCCUCCAUUCUCUCAUUUUGGCAAUUUAAAAAUGUGACAUCGACACAGAGAGCGGAAAUUAGGGUUGAUUUUAUUAGACAUUCGUAAUCUGAAUCUUGUCACUUUCCAAUUUGCCAAUGGUACGGUGUGUAUAUAAUUCAAAUCACGAGACAAAUAUAAGAGAACCAUGUUCUUUUCUAACGUCAAAGACAGACUUCUGUUAUUAUUCUGUCCAGAAUUCGCACCCGCACAAGUCCACCGGUGGUAAAUCAGAUGCCGAAGAAGAUAAUUCUGUCGAGUCAUAAUCUCGAGUUAUCGAGACGAUGAACGAAGGAAGCUUUUUGGCCGUGAUCGACGUGGGUACGAUGAGAAACUUACGUACUAAUUGGUCGUGGGGGCAAUAAGACACACAUAGCUGUGACGGCGGCGAGCGUUUUACGGCGUCAAAGCGAAUCCAUAAUUACAUUUGCAUCGGCAGGGCGUUCACGUGCGUUCACGUGCGUACUGCAACGCGCGGGAGAGAGAGAGAGAGAGAGAGAGAGAGAGAGAGAGAGAGAAGGGGGGGAGGACUGUGUGCUCUUGGUUCGCUAAUCAAUCGCGACGACCGACUACUGGCUGCUUCGGCUGCGUUCCCAAUUUCUCCUAACUUCCUUAUUCAAUGCUCUCUUUCCUUUCGUCGAGUGACAGUCUCUCUCUCUCUCUCUGGAUUUAUUGAAAAUAUCCAUUCGAAUAUUAGUCUUGAAUUCGAAGGUCGAUCGUUGUAGGUUAGGAUCAAAAAAAUGUCUGCAGCAUAGGUUAGGGCACUCUAGGAGCAUAAAAAAGCGCUUGAAAAAUGAACUGGUCGAAUCUUGCAAUAGAAAUAAAUAAAUAAAUAAAUAUAUUUUGCGUUUCCUUUUUGUUCUGAUAGUGUGCAUUAGAUAAAUUCCAAAACGCAGAGACCAACGUUAAUCCUGUUCCCUCUGACCUAAUGAAAUGGCCAAUGAAGCAGAUACGCGCGCAGAUCGUUAUGCACGAGGUACGGAUUAAACAGGGAAAGGAUUAAAACUUCAGGGCGAUACCAGCUUGAUACUCGGGCUACGAACACUUUUUUAAGCAUUUUUCGUGCUUUAAAUAUUAGAGUCUAAAUGUGUUGCCGCGUGUACGUGAUGCGACAGCUCGUUUGGGACUGCACUGCCUCGCGACGACUAGUGGACGUUGGACCUAAUGCCGCGUUCACACUGCUGUCGGCGAGCGUGUUCGCCAACGGCAUUGCGGAAACUUCACCGAGCUACAACAGCCGUAUAAUUCGUCCGGUAAGCGAUACGUUAAAGAAUCUGUUGACGAGGGCAGUGUGGGUUUGCAGUUUUUGUUGGCAAUUCUGUCCAGUGUAAACCCAGCAUUAUGCGUCUGAUGCUAAUCGCCCCCUAGGAAAACAAAUGCACUGUAAUGUAAUAAUACAACAUGCUAACGUAU